GACGAACGCUGGCGGCGUGCUUAACACAUGCAAGUCGAGCGGUAAGGCCCUUUCGGGGGUACACGAGCGGCGAACGGGUGAGUAACACGUGGGUGACCUGCCCUCAGCUCUGGGAUAAGCCUGGGAAACUGGGUCUAAUACUGGAUAUGACUCCACGGUGCAUGUCGUGGGGUGGAAAGCCUUGUGCGGCUGAGGAUGGGCCCGCGGCCUAUCAGCUUGUUGGUGGGGUGANGGCCUACCAAGGCGACGACGGGUAGCCGGCCUGAGAGGCGACCGGCCACACUGGGACUGAGACACGGCCCAGACUCCUACGGGAGGCAGCAGUGGGGAAUCUUGCGCAAUGGGCGAAAGCCUGACGCAGCGACGCCGCGUGAGGGA
rnacentral:rRNA from 1 species